AGGAGCUGGAAGCUCGGGUCCCAGAAGGUCAGCAUCUCUUUGAAAACCUCCUUCGUCUUGGACCAGCGAGGGGGUCUUUGGAUGAGCUGGAGGAUCUGCGCUACCGGUGGAUGCUGUACAAGUCCAAACUCAAGGACUCCAGCCUCCUGCUGACGGGGAGUUCUCCAGGGGAGCCGACUGGAUUCCAAAAGACUCCACGGGGGCGAGGGCUGGGCGCCUUCUGCCGGAAGGUGUGCUGCGUGGCGCUCCCCCUGCAGCUGCUGCUGCUGCUGCUGCUCCUGCUGCUCUUCCUGCUCCCCGUCGGGGAGGAGCAUCGCAGCUGCUCGCUGGCCAACAACUUCGCCCGCUCCUUCAGGUUCAUGCUCCGCUACAACGGCCCCCCACCCACUUAGCCCCCCUGGACCACGCGGGCCACAUUCUUCUCCAAACUUCCAUCAGCCCCGGGGCUCCUCCAGAGGAUGCGGGGGAAACUGGAAACAGGGCAAGCGGAGCCCGCGGAGCUGCAUCCAUGUAAAUACUGUAUCUGUGGUCUUCAAAAGAAUGUUACUUUUAUACAAUACCCUCUUAGUCUGUUUAUACCAAAUGUGUACCCUGUGUGAUGAGGGGGUAAGGCACAGCAUUUUUAUACGCUCUGUGUGCACAUGCUCAGUCUGUAUAAUUUCAUAUAUGACCUCUAUUUGUCAUUGGGAAGAUUCCCAGCAGCGUACUUGUCCAUGGGAUCUUGUAGCCUUUUGGCUUUGGUCUGCAGUCAGCCCUGGAAAGCAGGAGCAACAACAUGUCGCUUUUCCAGCCACCUCCUCCCAUCCAAGAGGCAAGCUCCCCACCCAGAUGUUCUGGAAGAGGCUGCCGAGGUGUCAGCAUGCAAGAACAACACUGGCCCUCACUCAGAGCCCAGUAACUCUUGCUUUACGCACAGUGAGAACAGUCAUGCUCGUCUCGUCUUUAAAUUGACAAUGAAUUAGAUGCCGUGGAUUAGAGCGGAGAGGGUGCGGAUCCCGGGCAAGCUGAGUGACAGCAGUGAAAAGUGGCACGUGAUAGAGCGAGGUUAGGGAGGAAAAGAACCCCAGAGAGAAGACCCGGCACUAAGCAAGCACCGCAGAACAUGGGGACAUCAAGUGCAAGGGGCCCGGACAGCGCGGACCAGCGAUGAACGUCCAAGGUCGGGAUGCCGAGUCUUCAGGAAGUGGUUAGCUUGAGCUCCGUGUGUUGUUUGCCCUGUUCAGGGAGAAUGUGACAGAGAGACAUCAUAUGGUUAAGAUUUUGAUCCCCAAGGGUAAGCAGUCCGUGCACCACCCACCUGACAUGCCCGCCAAGAUGUGUCACCUCCGUCGCUCUUUGGCUGAGUUUUUUUCAUCAUCUAAGACUCAGGUUGAAGGGACAGAGGGGAGCAUCUGCCGCAUCAGGGACCAGGGCUCGAGGGUCCAAGGCAGAGAGGAGAGGUCCGCCCUGGAGCUGAGCCUGUCUGUCCCUCCUCCUCCAGAAGGGACUUUGGAGAGAGGUGGGUCCUCUGGGCCAAGAAUGUCCCACCUGUGCACCCACAAGGGACCCAGGUCCCUGUUGAGCGGGGCGUGGCAGUCAGGCCCACAGACCGCUUGCGCUUUGAGGCUGGAACUGCCUUCCUCCCCCCAGGGAAUUAGCAACAGUUCCUAAGUGCUUCAUAACUGGAUCUUAUUUUCCCCAAAUCGACACUAGUUUUCCUUUUUAAAAAAUGCUGGAGCUCUCCUUGUGGCUCUCAGUCGGUUAAGAACCUGACUAGCCAGGGAUCGAACCCGCAACCUCAUGGUUCCUAGUCGGAUUCGUUAACCACUGCGCCACGACGGGAACUCCCGAUGACCGGUGUUUUUACAGACCAUCUUGGUCCAACCUCGUACCCCUUUUACAUGUGAGGAAAUUGAGGUGCUGACAGCUGCUGUUCACUUGGUGAAUUCAGGGAGUUCCUUCCAGAGGCGGGAGUAGAUCUCUGCACCCAGUGGGUGACAGAGUGACACUGCUCAGGCUGACCAGGGUGGAGAGGGAGCUCUGCUGUUAAGAGAUGGGGGACCUUGGGGGAGCCCCCUGCCCCCUCCCCGCCAGCCACUGGUAAAGGGGAUAUUAGCCCUAGCAUCUUCAGGGCUGCCUGAAAUAUUAGAUAUUUGGAGAAGGUGAUGGUGGACUUCCGUCUGGUGCAGAACCCCUAGAUUCAGCCACAAGUGUCAGAAGCCACCCCCCCGCCCCGCAACCUUGACUUAAACAAAUCAGGGCAUUGCUCUUCCCUUAUCCUGAGAGGUCAAGAGCCAAGCAGUUGUUAGCAUCAUUUUCUCAACUCUAGAAUGUCAGGACCAAGGUUCUGCAGCUCUCUUUUCUUUUCCUUGUGGUUACCUCAUGGCCCAAGAUGCUUGCUCUACCUCCGGAUUUUUCAUCUGAGUUCCAGGUUGGAAGAAGGAGAAUGGGCUGGGUGAACCGGCUCAACUUUUCAGCUUUCCCAGAAACUCUGCCCAGAUACUUGUGUUGACCUCUCAUUGGUCAGACCUGUGUCACAUGGUUCCUCUCCAUCUGCCAGGAGUCUGGAAACUUGUCCCCCCACAAAAUGAGCAUCUUUUAGCAAGAAGGAAGGAUUGGGGUGGCACUUAGAUGUCUCUGCUGCAGCCAUCCUGAUCCUCUGUGUCUUGAUCUCAUGUUCCGUCAGCUGAACUUGGAGGCAUUUAUCAUUGAGGCGUGAGAAAGGUCUUCCACCACUGCCUCCCCAGAGUCCCUCCCCCUCCCCAAGGUGCCACAGCCAGACAAGGCCCACCUUCUUACAAGACUUCAAAUAAAUCAGGUUCCUUUCUUGGUCAGACUAUAUGCGGGGGCAGCCCUCCCAUCCCAUCCUGACCGUGUAGACCCAAGGAUAAAUUUUUUAACACUCUUGUGUUUGGAUUCAGCCCAGGAAAUGUAUAUUUGCUUUAAUUUCUUCUGGAACAUGAGUUACUCCUGGGUGCAAAUCCUGGAAAGAGAGUCUCUCUGAGCUUUUCCAGGCUGGUCUCCCAUUUUUCAGCAGACCGUGGAGGCCUCAAAAGCAUUAGGCUAGCAGAGCCCAUGGCGCCUCCAGCAGAAGAUGAGAUUCAAAGGACUUAAACCAUCAUUUCUCCCUUGGUUUCAAUUGCAAGAGAAAGGCUUCUUGUCUGUCAUAUUAGAAAAGGGGGGAAUUCAUUUUUAAAAGGAAAUUAAAAAGACAAAAGCUUACGGUUUAAAAACAGAUCAUAAGGCAGAGUACCCAGAGCCUUAAAGAACAGUCAGCCCAUUCCACAUCCUCCAGUGGUUGUCAUGGUAACGUCACAGCUGCUAACAGGUUGGUACCCAACCACCUUGGGCAGACAGGGGAGAGUAAUCAUACAGAGGGACCACGGCUUCUCCGAAGGGUCCUGGGCUUGCUUUCAGGAAUCCCUACUUCUGAGCUCAGCAACCAGAGCAAGGCUGGCAGCCCUGUCCUGUUGGAAAUGGGAGAGAAGAAACACAUUGAGAACAGACCAGGUGGCCCUAAUUCCUUCCCAAAGCGCAUGGCAUCACAGCCUUGUUUUUAGACCCUGAAACCAGAGUACGGGGAAGGUUAGCAGCCUGCCCAUAAGCAGCCAGCUUGGGCAAGCAGUCAGUUUGGGACGUGAACCCAGGGGUGAUGGGAUCCAGGCGUCUCCACGGAAAUUCACCUCCAGCUUCUUUUCUUUCCCUGGCAGGCCCCAGGCUGCCGCUGCUUUGGCAGCUGGUUAGCUGGGUAGGGGUGACAUCCCACAGCAGGGUCUGCGGGAAUUCUUUCUGGUGCCCAGUCCCCCAGGGAGCUGGCACCACCAAGGCGACAUGCUGGGGGACAGAGGCAGGUGCCUGCCUUCCCUGGAAAAAAUAGAAACAGACCACCUUGUAUAUAGGCAGCGCCACCUCUUGUGCAGGACAGGGUCGGCUUUGUGACACUUCUGCCUCUGGAACAGUUCUGAUGCCUUCACUGGAGGGAAAAAAAGAGGCAUUGUCUCUCCAGAGGUAGUGGCCUUACAUGUUCUAGAAGUUCUAUGGGUGAGGAAAAAAUGGACAGAGUAAGUUCUGUGUGAAUGUGGUGUAUGUGCGUGUGUGUGUGUGCACUCUUGUGCACGCGUGUGUGUGCUUGCCUGUGUGUGCCUACACUACAUGCUUAUCUCCACCUGCUAGCACAGCUGCGCAGCCCUUGUUCUCAUCCCUGGGCUUGUGGACAACAGACACCACCAGCCUGGGGUCUCUGGGAACCUCAGGACAUUUCCUGAUUCCAGCUUUUAUGCCUCUCAUAGGAGCAACUGGUUUCCGCACCCCACCCCUCACCGCUGUUCCCCACACAAAGGGAAGGUCUGUUGACCCCUGAGAUCUCUGCCAACUGGAAACUCCCUCAGGCUGGUUCAGAAACAAGUGCUCUCUUUCUCAGGCCAGCAUCUCUCUUUCUCAGGCCAGUGUCUCUCUUUCUCAGGCCAGCAUCUCUCUUUCUCAGGCCAGCAUCUCUCUUUCUCAGGCCAGCGUCUCUCUUUCUCAGGCCAGCGUAUGACCUGGACCUGCUCGUGGAGGAGGACUUAGCCCCAGGGGAGCUGGUUUGCCCCUUUCUCUCCCUCUCUCUCUCUGUCUGUCUGUGUGUUUCAGAAAUCAAUGAUGUUCAAAUAUGCUAAAGACCCAGGGUUUGAUCAUUUAACAGCUCGCAGUUAAAUACACCUCGGGUCCUGUCCAUUUCCCUGCUCUCGACCACUGUUUAUUAAAACAGUCUUGAUGGUUCCCUAUCUCCUUAUGGUCUAAAUGUAUGUGAGUGAGGAAUUACAGCUCUACAUUCUCCUUUGUGUCGAAUUUUGUAGGACUUGGUUGAGGAAGUGUCAGCUUUUAUUCGUUUCAUUUUUUCAUUUAUAUUUAUUCCAUGUUUUCCUCCAGAAAACGUUGAAGGCAAGAUUUGAAUGUGUACAUGGGCAGCGCGAGGAUUGUGAGGGUAGAAAUAGCUUGUUUCUUGAUGUGCGUAAUAUAUUUUUAACCAAUAAGUGGAUUGGCUAAUGUAAAAAAUAUAUAUACCCAGUGCCCCAGAAGGGAGGGCGGGAGAGAGGGGGGAAGGAAGGGGGAGGGGGAGGGAAACCAGUGACAGUUCGGUGAAUUUGCUCAGCACCCAAGGUGCCCGAAGCAGGAAAAGUGGCAGGUUUAGGACACCAGCGCUGGAGAAAUGACUACUCUUCUCCUCCAUUUCAAGUCGAGGAGAUAAGCCCUGUCAUCCCGAAGCAGGUCAGCCUGAUGGAUUUGUUAGUUUCUCUCAUCUCCUUUCCCCAGGGGGGGUGUGUGGGGGGGUGGGCUUGGGAACCAGAGGGCCCCUCGCCUCCCCAGGACCCCACGUGGAGGCAGCAGCCACCUUCCUGCUUCACCUUCAGUCAGGUCCACAGAGCCCAAGUCACCCCAUCUUUCCCUCAAAGCCCUGGCGACACUAACGGCAUCCUGACCCACUGUUCCUGGGGCAACACACAGGUGGUCUGGUUAACACACGGGUGAGCCUGGGGGCGGGGGGCAUGGAGGAGGGUGUGGGUGUGGGUGGGUGUGAGUGCGUGUCGAUGCCAUGUCUGCGGGUUUGGUGUCAAAAGCGUACUAACCUCAUUGUGGAAAAUGUUCUUUAUGUAAACAGUAGGCACAGGGACCAUCCCACUCCCGCCAUAGUGUCUGUGAUUGUGAAACACGCGUGUGGCAUAAAUCAAGCUUUCUGGGAAGGCAAGCGGAGUGGGAGCCAAAUGGCUGUUUUGGACCACGUGUGUGUUAUCUGGGUUCAUAUCAAGUCCAAAACCGGCCGCGCGCAUCCUUCCCGCCUCUCUGCUCAGGAGGGAGGAGCUCCAGCCUGUCCACUACCCUCUCGACGCUGCCUUUUAAAGUCACGGGACGUUUCCUUCCCCUUCUUCUUGUUCGCGUUGGAAGCAGCCGUGUUCUCAGAGAUGGUUUGACAUGUUUGCUCUUCGCUUUAUGUUUUCCAAGAUGUUAUCUGCUUUAUGUUUGGAAAUAAAAAAAUCUCUAUUUUGGUCUA
rnacentral:lncRNA from 1 species